rnacentral:ncRNA from 1 species
CAAACAUCUAUGAUGAGAAGAGUAAGAUAGAUUGGAGUAUCACAGAGAGUCAACACUUGCUGAAAGUUGACAUACUGCACCUGUUCGAAUAUCACCUCUGAGAUGCUUGGCUGAACCUACAGUAAGCCAUGCCGGGUUUUCCUCCGUUACCAAGGAAUGUGUAUGAUUGUACACAACCAAAGAGCUAUGGCUAAAUAUUCUAAAAAUUUUGUCAUAGAAUUAAGGUGGUAACGCGAAACGCUCGUCCUUAUA